UAGAUGCGAGAGUAGAGCAUAUCAAUAAGCGGAGGAAAAGAAACUAACUAGGAUUCCCUUAGUAACGGCGAGUGAAGCGGGAAGAGCUCAAAUUUGAAAUCUUCAAGGUUCUACCUUGACGAAUUGUAGUUUAAAGAAGUGUUUUCUGUUGGAGUUUUGGUAAAAGUUCUUUGGAAUAGGACAUCAUAGAGGGUGAGAAUCCCGUAUUUGACCAUUAUUUCCAGCUGUGUGAUACACUUUCAAAGAGUCGGAUUGUUUGGGAAUGCAGUCCAAAAUGGGUGGUAAAUUUCAUCUAAAGCUAAAUACUGGCGAGAGACCGAUAGCGAACAAGUACCGUGAGGGAAAGAUGAAAAGAACUUUGAAAAGAGAGUUAAACAGUACGUGAAAUUGUCAAAAGGGAAGCGUUUGACACCAGUGUUGUUUUCUCGAAAAUCAAUUAAAAAUGACCGGAUUUUGUGUUGUAUUGACUUUAUCAGCUUUCUGCACUUUUUUCUUGUCUUUUUUAAUGCACUUUUCGUUUAACAAGUCAACAUCAAUUUCUUUUGUUGUAAAAGGGUCAUUGGAAGGUGGCUUUCAUUUCGGUGAAAGUGUUUAUAGCCUUUGACUUCUGCAAUCGGAGAGAUUGAGGUCUGCAGCGUAGAUCCUUCGGGGUUAGAUACAUUUGUGCUAAGUUAUAGUUUUUCAUAGACAACAUGUUGACUAUGAUUAAUCAUGUAGCUUACUCGCUUAUGCUAUUUUACCUACGCUUAGGAUGUUGACGAGACUGUCGAUCUC
rnacentral:rRNA from 1 species